UUGGUCAUUGGUGCCAGCAGCCGCGGUCAUACGUAGGGGGCUAGCGUUCUCCGGAAUUACUGGGCGUAAAGGGUGCGUCGGUGGUUUCUUAAGUCAGAGGUGAAAGGCUACGGCUCAACCGUAGUAAGCCUUUGAAACUGGGAAACUUGAGUGCAGGAGAGGAGAGUGGAAUUCCUAGUGUAGCGGUGAAAUGCGUAGAUAUUAGGAGGAACACCAGUUGCGAAGGCGGCUCUCUGGACUGUAACUGACACUGAGGCACGAAAGCGUGGGGAGCAAACAGG
rnacentral:rRNA from 1 species